rnacentral:lncRNA from 1 species
AGAAUGUGCAGGAACCUUCUGCUGAUUUAGAAUCAGGAACAGCCAUGAAGUCUGAUAACUUGCUUGUGGAAGAUGAGACUAAGGGCCGAACUGUUAGCGCUACCGAGAAUGUGCAGAAACCUUCUGGUGAUUCAGAACCAGCAACAGCAGUGAAACCUGAUAACCUGCUUGUGGAAGAAGAGACCAAGGGCCGAACUGUUAGGGAUAUCGAGAAUGUGCAGAAACCUUCUGGUGAUUUAGAACCAGGAACAGCCGUGAAGCCUGAUAACCUGCUUGUGGAAGAAGAGACCAAGGGCCAAACUGUUAGCGAUAUCGAGAAUGUGCAGAAACCUUCUGCUGAUUUAGAACCAGGAACAGCCAUGAAGCCUGAUAAUCUGCUUGUGGAAGAAGAGACCAAGGGCCGAACUGUCAGCGAUAUCGAGAAUGUGCAGAAACUUUCUGGUGAUUUAGAACCAGGAACAGCCAUGAAGCCUGAUAACUUGCUUGUGGAAGAAGAGACUAAGGGCCGAGUGGUUAGCGAUAUAGAGAAUGGGCAGAAACCUUCUGCUGAUUUAGAACCAGGAACAGCCAUGUGCAGAAACCUUCUGCUGAUUUAGAACCAGGAACAGCCAUGUGCAGAAACCUUCUGCUGAUUUAGAACCAGGAACAGCCAUGAAGCCUAGUGACUUGCUUCUAUAAGAAGAGACUAAGGGCCCAUUUGGGAUUGUUGUUGGAAAACUAUUUAUUUGAGAACCACUUUUAUAAAAUAGUUUUUCAGAAACGUGCUCUUGGG